ensembl:snRNA U6 U6 spliceosomal RNA
GCGCUCGCUUUGGCAGCACAGAGACUACAAUUGAAACGAUACAGGGAAGAUUCACACGGCCCCUGCGCAAGGAUGACGCGCAGAUUCGUGAAGUGUUCCAGAUUUUC